AGGAUGAACGCUGGCGGCGUGCUUAACACAUGCAAGUCACGGGGGCCCAGCAAUGGGUAACCGGCGAACGGGUGCGUAACACGUGAGCAACCUACCGAAAUGAGGAGAUAGCCGGCCCAACGGCCGGGUAAUACCGCAUACGCUCGAGACCAGGCAUUUGGACUCGAGGAAACCUCAGGGCAUUCGAGGGGCUCGCGGCCUAUCAGCUAGUUGGUGAGGUAACGCUACACGAAGGCGACGACGGGUAGCUGGUCUGAGGAGGACUCGGCCACGGCCACGUAGUUGGGACUGAGACUACGGCCAGACUCGUAACGGGAGCGACGUAGAGGUAGGGAACUUGUCGGCGAC
rnacentral:rRNA from 1 species